UAUUGGGCAUUGAAAAGGUAUAGUAAUGUAUUUCUCCCUGUUUUAGAGAGCCGGUGGCAGGUGAAAACCGGUACAAAGAAAUGGCAUGAAUUUCCCCUUGGAGCAUUUUCCGUGAACUCUUGGAUAAGAAAGCGGAAAACGGUAGUGUAUACCGUUAUCAAACAAAGUGGUGAAGAUGUUUUCACAAAAAUGGGUGGUACCGCGAUAUAAUCGUCCCUGCU
rnacentral:ncRNA from 1 species